CUGGAAGAUAAGAGAAAUAUCUCAGCUAUAAACGCACGCUUUCUGGACGACAAAACAUUCUGAGAACCAGCCAGAAAGACCCUCGAGUCACAUUACAGUUUUAUUGUGUCGGUGGACCGGGAUUGUUCUGGCAUGUGUAGCCCACUUUGCUCUGGGCCUCUCACAGCAGACGCGGGAGCGCGCGAGCAGGUGCGGCGCCUCGAGCCUCUGUUGUCCAGGUGAGAUGCUCUUACCUGCAGCGCCGCAGUCCGCGCACAGCUCGUUACCGGCUCGCUGCCGUAGAUCGCGCAGAAGGCAGCUGUUCCGCUCGGGAUCUCUCGCCAUGACUCGCCGGAGGAACGGAUCGACGGUCUCCGCUGGGCUUCUCUGUGGCGAGCAGGUGAUGAAUGGAGCAGCGAUGAAAUAAACACCAAAUAACUGCACGCGCGUCUAGUUGGGAAGCCCGGGGUUGUAUGUCCACUUAGUGAUGGUAAAAAAAUAUAUAUGGUCUUUCUCUUCCUCUUUGUGUUUGCGCUCAAGGUUCUAGCGGUGG